UACGGGGGGGGCAAGCGUUGUUCGGAAUUACUGGGCGUAAAGGGCUCGUAGGCGGCCGACUAAGUCAGACGUGAAAUCCCCAGGCUCAACCUGGGAACUGCGUCUGAUACUGGAUGGCUUGAAUCCGGGAGAGGGAUGCAGAAUUCCAGGUGUAGCGGUGAAAUGCGUAGAUAUCUGGAGGAAUACCGGUGGCGAAGGCGGAUCUCUGGGCCGAUACUGACGCUGAGGAGCGAAAGCGUGGGGAGCGAACAGG
rnacentral:rRNA from 1 species